UACAGAGGGAGCGAGCGUUAAUCGGAGUUACUGGGCGUAAAGCGUGCGUAGGCGGCCUUUUAAGUCGGAUGUGAAAUCCCCGAGCUUAAAUUGGGAAUUGCAUUCGAUACAGGGAAGCUAGAGUAUGGGAGAGGAUGGUAGAAUUCCAGGUGUAGCGGUGAAAUGCGUGGAGAUCUGGAGGAAUACCGAUGGCGAAGGCAGCCAUCUGGCCUAAUACUGACGCUGAGGUGCGAAAGCGUGGGUAGCAAACAGG
rnacentral:misc_RNA from 1 species